CCCGACCGUUGCUGUUACCUUGACGUGGUGGUCGGGCUUGCUUAUCGUGAUGAACCGAUUGAGCUAUAUUGGAUAGAACAAUCGUUCCUUAAGGUCCUACCAUCCAAGGCAGGUCGGUUGAAGAGCGGUAAGACCAAAAGCAGC
rnacentral:ribozyme from 1 species